CUUGUUCUUUAAAUGAGGACUAGUAUCAACGGCAUCACGAGGAUCCUACUGUCUCCCCCCUCUAAUCAGUGAAACUGAUCUCCCCGUGAAGAAGCGGGGAUAUACAUAUAAGACGAGAAGACCCCAUGGAGCUUUAAACCUGACAGCACCCGCUCAUUCUAUACCCCAUUAUUUGCCCGACCCCUGUCUGCUCAGUUUUAGGUUGGGGUGACCACGGAGUAUAAAAUAACCUCCAUGAANAAGGGGAUAUUUCCCUUAUUAGAGAACCACACUUCCAAGAACUAAUAAAUUAAUUUUCAAUGACCCGAUACCCGAUAAUCGAUCAACGAACCAAGUUACCCUGGGGAUAACAGCGCAAUCCACCCUGAAAGCCCUUAUUAACAGGUGGGUUUACGACCUC
rnacentral:rRNA from 1 species